rnacentral:rRNA from 1 species
GACGUGGGGGGCGAGCGUUGUCCGGAAUUACUGGGCGUCAAGCGCGCGUAGGCGGGCUGGCAGGCGGCGUGUGGAAGGCGGGGGCUCAACCCCCGAUGGGCGCGCCGAACCGCUAGUCUUGGGACGGCGAGGGGCAGGUGGAAUGGUCGGAGGAGCGGUGAAAUGCGCAGAUAUCAGGAGGAACACCGGUGGCGAAGGCGGGACUCUGGGCCGAUACUGACGCUGAGGAGCGAAAGCGUGGGGAGCAAACAGG